rnacentral:rRNA from 1 species
UCUGAAUCUGCGNACGGCUCCGCAAACCAGUUGUAAACUAUAGCAAGCAUGCCUGGGUUCCCUUCACGGGGAGCUUGGGCGAUACGGAUAACCCUGGUAAUUCUGAGGCUAAUACGAGAACGCAAUCCUUGGCUGACCGGGCAACUGGGAGGCUGAGAGGCGUGCAAGUUGUGUCGCGAGAAAUCGCCGGGAUUGGAUGCGCGCCUGGACCGCGCCAAAGACAGAUGAGUGUCCCUGACCCUCACGGGAAGGGGAUGCUUGCCUGAGCGGCUCUUGCAAUGCGCUUCUGACCUAUCAACUAGACGGCAGCGUGAAGGACAUGCUAUGGUACAACGGGCUACAGAGG